AUUGAACGCUGGCGGCAGGCCUAACACAUGCAAGUCGAGCGGAGCGGCGGACGGGUGAGUAAUGCCUAGGAAUCUGCCUGGUAGAGGGGGAUACCGUCCGGAAACGCGCGAUAAUCCCGCAUACUAUCAGAUGAGCCUAGGUCGGAUUAGCUAGUUGGUGGGGUAAAGGCCUACCAAGGCGACGAUCCGUAACUGGUCUGAGGGGAUGAUCCGGCACACUGUAACUGAGACACGGUCCGGCAUCCUGCGGGAGGCAGCAGUGGGGAAGAGGGGACAAUGGGCGAAAGCCGUAUCCAGCCAUGCCGCGUGUGUGAAGAAGGUGUUCGGAUUGUAAAGCAGUUUAAGUUGGGCGGCGUUACCAACAGAAUAAGCACCGGCUAACUUCGUGCCAGCAGCAGCGGUAAUAC
rnacentral:rRNA from 1 species